GAUCAUGGCUCAGGAUAAACGCUGGCGGCGCACAUAAGACAUGCAAGUCGAACGAACUUAACCAUUAGUUUACUAUUGGAGCGGUUAGUGGCGGACUGGUGAGUAACACGUAAGCAACCUGCCUAUCAGAGGGGAACAACAGUUAGAAAUGACUGCUAAUACCGCAUAUGCCUUAGAAUCACAUGGUUAACGAAAAGGGAAAGGAGACAACUCCGCUGAUAGAGUGGGUCUUGCGU
rnacentral:rRNA from 1 species